rnacentral:tRNA from 1 species
GGCCGACUAGCUCAGUUGGUUAGAGCGUGGUGCUAAUAUAUUGAUAUAAGUAACUUUCCAGUACUCUGAGUUACUUACAAUGAUAUAUUACGCCAAGGUCGUCGGUUCGAUCCCGGCGUUGGCCA